CCAAGGAGGUUUCAAUAAGUCCUUACGUAAAACUUAAAUUUACGCCGCGUUCCAGAGAGGGACAUAAAAUACUUCUUUUUUGGUGAAUAAUUUGUUGUUACUGCUUUAAAAAUAAUUUCAUUUACUUAAAACUAUAUAUUUAUUAAAGUAUUUCUUAGGAAAAAAAUUCUAGUAUAGCAGAAUAUAAGAAAUAAGGAGAAAAAGCUCCCCAAAACUCUAAGUAUGGCUUGUUCUGUCAACUUAUAUUCAUGGUAAAGUCCUAUUUCAAGGAAAUUUUCUCAUAAAAUGUAUUUUGGAGACUCAAUCCACUCAGAAUAUUUCAUUAUUUGUAAUAUUUCACUUAAAUAGCAAGAAAUUUUAACACAUGAGAGUACUCACAAGGUCAAAGGUGCAUGUACAGCUUCCCAUAUUAGGUGUAAUACCACCAUUGAUUUUCCCCUAUUAGUCUUUGUUAAAUUUGCAC